GAGGAAGGUGGGGAUGACGUCAAAUCAUCAUGCCCUUUAUGACUUGGGCUACACACGUACUACAAUGGCGUUAAACAAGAGAAGCAAGACCGCGAGGUGGAGCAAAACUCAGAAACAACGUCCCAGUUCGGACUGCAGGCUGCAACUCGCCUGCACGAAGUCGGAAUUGCUAGUAAUCGUGGAUCAGCAUGCCACGGUGAAUACGUUCCCGGGCCUUGUACACACCCCCGUCACACCAUGAGAGCCGGGGGACCCGAAGUCGUAGUCUAACCGC
rnacentral:rRNA from 1 species